CGCACGUAUUUACAUUAAUUUAAAACUAUUUAAAUUAUAAAUUAAGAAGAAAUAUAAAAUUGGAGAAUCAAAUCAUUUCUCUUUGUCUAUCGAAUUAGCUAUGAUAAACAUUUUGUUUCCAGGUGUAAAUAAAACCAGCUUCGACGCGUUAACGCUCCACAAAUACGCGAAUAUGUGCACGUAUGCAUAUGUAGAUUGAUUUUACCGCGUCCACGGGGAACAUCAUUGGAACAUCCGCUUUCAUUCGUGCACGCGCAAUAAAACGGUUGGAAAAAGUUUGCGAUCGAAGGGAAGUGGAAACGUGGAGAAAAUUGGGAAAUUGUAUGUCUUUUCAAUCGCGAUGACAUUUCAUUCAACAGUGUUUUCAAAAAUCAUAAUUUCGAAAGUGUAUUUAAGGUAUACGUGUAUGAUUAAUAUCAAUGUUUUCAAUUGCAAUACGUGCGUGAUAGAUUUUUAAUAAUCAUGCAUCGAAAUAUAAGACUUCACGUAUAUAAAUAUAUAUAUAUUUUAUUUCCUAUCUCUGCUAUUACGAAGAAUGGAAUAUCAGAGCGAAGAUUCGGAAAAUUAAAAGAGGAAAAGAGUAUUAUAAUAAGAGAGAAAGGUAACUAACAGGUUAUAUAUUAUAAUGAAUAAAUUAAUGACGCAUUUUCGAUGUAAAUUCAUCGCUGCGGAAUGCUUAUCCGCGUCCGAUUCUACAAUAUGUCACGCCAUUUACAAGCGUUGUAAGCUUUAUUGUUCUCAGCAUCCAUUGUAUUUACGCGCGUUUUACAUCUCCUGCCAGCGAAUCCCUCCUUGCAAUAGUUGAAUUCUUCCCUUCCCGCUUCUUCUUACUUUGUUCGACAUCAAUAAAGCUUUAAUUAGAUGUCGCGUGACAAGAUAGCAUCGCCGUUAUGGAUAUAUUGUAACGCAAUCCAUACACGAUCGAUCAUUUUUCCACUUGAAAAAUCAACAAUUCAGAGAAAUUAUAAGGAAGAGAUGGUAAUAUAUAUCAGCAAAAUAUCUUACAAGGAAAUUUAUGUACUUGGAAAGAUUUGAGUUUAAUAAAAAAAAUUCUUGUGCAUAUAAAUUUCAAUUAGACAUACGUUUUUUAUAAUAAUAUAAAAUAAAUUCGAAUAUUUGGAUCUAUCGUUACAAAGUUAUAUUUAAAAAAUUAAAUUAAUAUUGAAGAUAAGCGAAUUAUAGGUUAUUGUAUCCUAGAAAAUAAUGUUAACAUCGAUCGAAAGAAAUUACUUAUUUUUAAUUUCGAUUAUUUCAUUGGAUAACGUAUAUAAAAAUACUUUUUCUCUAUAUUUCUUCCAAAUUUUUGUUCAAAGUUUAUGCAAAGAAGAGAAAAACGAUUGAAUUAAAUUUUAUAGAUAUAAUUCAUAUCACAAAAGUUUAAUCAAACAAAAACGAUCAUAACAUUAUUUUACACUAUUCUCAUUUAUUCGCUAAACGUUCGUUUGAACGCACGCCAAUGCCAAUGUGUGAACACGUGGUUCAUCAGUGUGCCAAUGUUGGCCACCUCUUGCUAUCGGUUUUCGAAUCAAAGAACAUUAGGUUUGCCAAUGUGAUGUGCCAACAUCCUGUCUACAUAUUUAAUAAUAAUUACGUUAAAUGUUAAGUAAAUAUAACUCUAUUAUCGUUCGAUGCCAAUGAUAUUUGUAAAUAAAAAUCACUUAAAAACCGCUUAACGUGCUCGUUUAUCGCGAUCUAACGAAGAAAAAAUCAAUUUUAACUUCGAGUCGAUUUUCGUUCGUUUAAUAUCGAGGGGGAUUUUAUUAGGAGAUCGUAUAAAAUAAAUCGAAUAUAAUUUGAAAUUGUUUAAUUUUUAAUUUGAUUACGAGAAAUCUUCUACGAGUUUUGAAAAAGGAAUCGGCAAGCGAUAUCUUUUACUAUGAUUUAAACGUUCGGCGCGAGAUCGAGGUCAAUCGAUAAUGUCGUAACCGAAAAAUAUAUAUUUGUUCGAUGAAAAGAGCCUUCGUCGAAAGUUCUCGACCCGUUGCAUUCGGAAUAUCACUUUAUGCUAAGGCAAAUAUUAAUUCUGAUAACCGAGAAUACGAAUUGUAGUAGGUGAACAUUUCUUAUAUAUGGAAUUUUAAAUGAAUUCGAGCGCAUAUUUGUUUAAGGAUUUCGGAUAGUUAUAAAUAAUAGUUAUUAACACGUGUAUCGUGAUGACGAAUUGAAAACGAAUCGAGAAUGUUUCAAUGAUCGAAUCGACCAAUUUGAAUGUAUUAAUAAAAUUAAUUUUCAAGAAUAUUCUUAAUGGAUAACAAUCACAAAAAUAGGCAUACGUUUCCCGAAAAAGUCUCACAUCUGCACAGAAGAUUAUGUAGUACCAUACCAUGUUGAGAGCGAGGGAGUGGAGUACUCUCUUUGCCCCUGUGGCAUCUUGAAGGACUUUUCAGCAAUGCAUAGUGGAAACAAAAGGGGAGAAAGAAUGUACGAGUGGAAAAAUAAAUAACGGUGAGAAAAUAAUAUACAUAAUUACAUCUAUAUUCAAAUUAAGAAAAUAUGAAAUUAAAGCAAUUAGACUAAACAUAUAUAUUUAUACGUUAUUUUAUUUCCUGAAUAAAAAUUAUCGAUAUUAAUUUAAAGAGAAACAUUUUCGCUUAAUCGAUAAAGAAAUUAUAAAAAUAACUCGUGAAUCAUAAAAUUUGAUAUUUCUUAUUCAUAUCAAACUUGUCUUAUCGUGUAAAUCCUCGUAAUUAUUGAAAUUAGGAAGAUAAUGUUGAAAUAUAUCCGGAACGGGAAAUAUUUUCAAAUUGAUACAAAUUAUUGCGCAAAACCGGGUAUAUUCUACACGUAUCUCAAAGUGGUUUGUUAGUACUCGGAAGACGCGGAAGCGCAAGAGUCUUCAUUGCGCGUAAAGUUGAUGUCCACUUAACCUGAUUCUUUGUCCGUUCUCUCCGACCAAUCUUCUCUUUCCCUUCUUCAGACUUUUCAUUCUUUUUCCCGCGACAAUUAAGUAAGAUUUCCCUCCCGCGAUAAUAAAUCGAAAAUGACGUUAAUAAUUCGACGUCGCAAUAAUCGAUCAUUUCAUUGAUAGACGUUUUAUCAUAUGUAAUGACAGAUUGAUACAUACGAAAAUUCUCGACACUUCUUCGGAUUCUUUUAAUUAAUCGACAAAAUCAGUUUUCUUUUUUUUUUUAUAAAAUAUUUAUGAAUUAUUCGAAUGAGAAUGAUUUAGAAAUUUGGAAUGUUUCUCGCGUUUUAAUGAUCAAAAAAAUCAAUUAUUGCUAUUUAUGCUUCGUUGCUUCCUUGUUAUUGUUACUAAUAAUUCCAUUUUUUUUUAAAUUUGAUUCUUAUGAAAAUUUAUAUAAAAAGAAAAAUACUAUUCGAAUAUUUUUUAUUUAUUUAAAAAAAGGAAAUAAAUAUUUCUGUUUGAAAAAUUAUCAUAGAAAUUGAGAUUUAAAAGAAAAAAAAAAAUUUUUUUUAAUAGAAUGAUGAUUGAUUAGAAUGAGAUAUUUUUUUUUUAUUUCUCAUUCAAGCGUUUUAGAACAUUUUAAAAUGGUCUAAUGUCAUUCGAAGUUAUCGGUCAACUGCAAAGGAAAGUUAAUUUAUUUUAUGGGAACGAUAAAACUAUUUCCUAAUUGAUUAUUAAUAAUCAUGAUAACACGAAUCAUCAAAUGUAAAUAAAUAGUCAAUUACGCUUGUACGCUUCAUUAUUUAUUUUGUAAAUAUUAUUUUUUGCUUGUAACAUUUUAUCCAUUUACGUGCAAUUUUCAAAAUAAGUUAUUAAAAAAAAAAGUAGAUAUGGUUUACUUAUCGAAUGUUAUUAAAUUGGAAAAAGUACAUUUGUAUACAGAUUCUUCGAACGUGUUAGAUAUUUUUACAAACGUUACAAAAAAUUUUCAAGAAUAAACAGAGUACUUUCGUUCAUGUGAAAUAAGUUAUUUUCCCUUGUGAUUGAAUGAUCUUAAACCAAGUAAACAAAACAUAUCAUUUAAAAAAGAAAAACAAACUUGAUUUUCACGUGACUUUCAUGUUGCUCAUCGAUCAACAAUCGACACAAUGCACAAGUUUGCUCCGACACAAUUUUUUUCUAUCAUCAAUAACAGCCGAGAUAUUCAAACGCUUCGCUCCGUAUAUUUAAUAUUAAGCGUCUUUUUUUCUUAUUAAGCAUACAAAUCCGUCUCGCGCGAAACGUGUGUUUCGCCAAGAUAAGUGACGCAUAAUCAUGUUACAAAUUCGACAUUUGAUGUCUGCUUCGCGUUUACCGUUCGCGUUUGCCUUCCAAAUAGAUAUCAAUUCGAGAACAGGGAGCAAGAAGAAACACGAUCAGCUGACACCUCAACGUUUCAUCAAUGCUUGCACAGGCUGUGCUACGCGUGUAUCGAAACACGUGUGGCAUGUGUACACACGUACGCAAAGUUUACAUAUUUAAUCGAACGUCUUAUACAAGUCUCUUAAGGAAUAAAAUAUCAAUCGAACGAGGAAUAAAAUUCGUAAAAUUCGAGUUUCGAGAUAAGAUCAGUAUCUUACCUCGUGAUUAAUAAUUGAAUUAAGACGAUUAUUUAUUUCACUCGUAUGUCACAUCGAUAAAAUGUUAAUAACGAAGUGACGGAUUUAGGGGGAUAUUGCAUAAGUUAAUUGAAUAAAUUGAAUAAAAAUUUGUUUAAAAUCAGAAAUUGGAUAUAGAUUCGUUGGGAUUUUGUUAACGAGUUAUUAACAAAAAACAUUGGCCAAUCAAUUUAUAGCUUAAUCGAGCUGCAAGAAUAGUGUUGGUUAUGUGCCGUCGAUCGAACACGAACAAAUCCAAGUGAUAUAAAUACGUCGAAAAAAGUUGAAUAUUAUAGUUUAUCUAUUGUUAUAUAAUUAUUUAUAAUUCGAUUAUUUUAUCGAUAAAAAAAAUUUGCCAUAUUCAAUAGUUUUUUUUAUAUUAUAUAUGUUGCUUGAAUUUAUUCGUGCUCGGUACUACACGUAGCUAACACUAUCAUCGUAACUCGUAGCUACAAUAUGAUUGUUUUUUGCUGAUAAUUAAUUAACAAAAUCGUAACGAAACUUUUUGAAAAGGAAAAUAUUGCUUGAAAUCAUUUCAGGAAUUUUCAGUUAACAGAUGUUUCCAUUUUUGGGAUAUCUUGUAUAUUUGUCCAUGUAAAAUAUGUAAAGGAUAUCGACAUACAUCAAAUUUCUUUAUUUUUAAAUAUUUUUGUUAAAAACAAAGCAUACAUCUUUUUCAGAAUUCUCUGUAUCAUCAUUUCAAUUUUUAAAAUGAUGCAUAUUGUUUUAAAGUUAAUUCUUAAUACAGGAUUAAAUUAUUAUAUAUAUAUAUGUAAUGUAUAUCAAAAGUAUGAGAUACUUUACAUAAAACUUUUUUAAAGAUUGGAGUUACUACAAUAACUUUGCGACCUUUUAAAAAUAAUCAUUUUAUUAUAUUGUAUAUGUAAAAUAAUAUAAAACGUAAAUUUAUAAAAACUCGUCAAUCAUUACAAUUUUUUUAUAAUUUUUAGAUUAAUAAGAAACAGAUAUUUUCCUAAUAUUUUCAAAAUUUUAAUGUAAUUUUAACGUUCGAAUAUUGUUUAUUAAAACAUCAGACAAGAAUCGUUUAUCAAAAAAUAUUUACCAUCUCUCAAUUUAAUAACAAUCUUUGAAGUUGUUUUCUCUCAGAUUCAUUUUACAACAUUCAUUAUAAUAAUAACGGUGAAAAAUUUCACUGGAAUAGUGCACUUUCAUUAAUGAACCACAACGUUCAAAGAGUCAAUUCAGCCAUUUCCAAAUGCGUUACCAAAGGCUGGGCUAUGUUCGGUGUGCUUUCAACGUAACAACUCCCGAUAACUUUUCCUAAACACUAAAUAGGUUAGACAGGUUGACCUGGCUACGCCAAUUCUAACAUGUAUGGGUCGCGUUCUCCGAUUCAAUUAUAACAUAACCUUUAAACGGCGUCAUGGCGUCGUGGCAUUGUAGCAUCGCGGGCAUCGUGGCGUCGUAAUAUCGUCGAGUCGAUGUCGAUGCCGA